CCCUUAGAUGUUCUGGGCCGCACGCGUGCUACACUGAGUGGAUCAGCGGGUCAGGUUGCGCGAAAGCGUUUCCUAAUCUUUAAAUCCGCUCGUGAUGGGGAUUGACGGUUGCAAUUUUCUGUCAUGAACGAGGAAUACCUUGUAAGCGCGGGUCAUCAUCCCGCGCUGAAUACGUCCCUGCCCUUUGUACACACCGCCCGUCGCUAGUACCGAUUGAAUGGCUUAGUGAGGCUUCAGGAUUUGCUUAGAUCGAGGGGCAACUCUCUUUCAGAGCGGAGAAUCUAGUCAAACUUGGUCAUUUAGAGGAACUAAAAGUCGUAACA
rnacentral:rRNA from 1 species